CCUACGGGUGGCAGCAGUGAGGAAUAUUGGUCAAUGGACGAGAGGCUGAACCAGCCAAGUAGCGUGAAGGAUGACUGCCCUAUGGGUUGUAAACUUCUUUUGUCAGGGAGUAAAGCGAGCCACGUGUGCGUUUUUGCAUGUACUUUAUGAAUAAGGAUCGGCUAACUCCGUGCCAGCAGCCGCGGUAAUACGGAGGAUCCGAGCGGUAUCCGGAUUUAUUGGGGUUAAAGGGUGCGGAGAUGGGUUGUUAAGUCAGUUGUGAAAGUUUGCGGCUCAACCGUCAUAUUGCAAUUGAUACUGGCAGUCUUGAGUAGACGUGAGGUAAGCGGAAUUCGUGGUGUAGCGGUGAAAUGCAUAGAUAUCACGAAGAACCCCGAUUGCGAAGGCAGCUUAC
rnacentral:rRNA from 1 species